AUUGAACGCUGGCGGCAGGCCUAACACAUGCAAGUCGAACGAGUGGCGGACGGGUGAGUAAUGUCUGGGAAACUGCCUGAUGGAGGGGGAUAACUACUGGAAACGGUAGCUAAUACCGCAUACCAUCGGAUGUGCCCAGAUGGGAUUAGCUAGUAGGUUGGGUAACGUCUCACCUAGGCUACGAUCCCUAGCUGGUCUGAGAGGAUGACCAGCGACACUGUAACGGAGACACGGUCCAGACUCCUACGUGCGGCAGCAUUGGGGAAUAUUGCACAAUGGGCGCAAGCCUGAUGCAGCCAUGCCGCGUGUAUGAAGAAUGCCUUCGUGUUGUAAAGGACUUUCAGCGGGGAGGCGUUACCCGCAGAAGAAGCACCGGCUAACUCCGUGCCAGCAGCCGCGGUAAUAC
rnacentral:rRNA from 1 species